GGCCGAGUAGCAAAGUGGUAAUGCAGUGGAUUGCAAAUCCACUAGGCGCCAGUUCGAUUCUGGCCUCGGCCU
rnacentral:tRNA from 2 species